rnacentral:ncRNA from 16 species
AUUGAUCGGUGGAGCGGCGGUUUAAGAUAGGCCCUGAUCUUCGGUGGACGGGAACGCCCUGCAAAUGGGCGGCGGCCCUCGCCACUGUGAUCGGGGUGACCCCGGGCCGGCACACGCCACCGGAUCGCCCCGCGGCCGAUGGAAAGGCCGCGGGCGAUGCGGGAAGGCGCCGGACCGGACGCCGCGCCGUCGUCGACGGUGCGGCUGCCCCGUCAGCCAGGAGACCGGCCGGGGAUCGCCCCGGCGCC